rnacentral:rRNA from 2 species
GUCAUAUGCUUGUCUCAAAGAUUAAGCCAUGCAUGUCUCAGUACAAGCCAAAUUAAGGUGAAACCGCGAAAGGCUCAUUAAAUCAGUUAUGGUUCCUUAGAUCGUACCCACAAUUACUUGGAUAACUGUGGUAAUUCUAGAGCUAAUACAUGCAAACAGAGCUCCGACCGGAGACGGGAGGAGUGCUUUUAUUAGAUCAAAACCAAUCGGUGGCGGGUUCGCCCGUCAUCGUACAACUUGGUGACUCUGAAUAACUUUACGCUGAUCGCACGGUCAUCGCACCGGCGACGCAUCUUUCAAAUGUCUGCCUUAUCAACUGUCGAUGGUAGGUUCUGCGCCUACCAUGGUUGUAACGGGUAACGGGGAAUCAGGGUUCGAUUCCGGAGAGGGAGCCUGAGAAACGGCUACCACAUCCAAGGAAGGCAGCAGGCGCGCAAAUUACCCACUCCCGGCACGGGGAGGUAGUGACGAAAAAUAACGAUACGGGACUCAUCCGAGGCCCCGUAAUCGGAAUGAGUACACUCUAAACCCUUUAACGAGGAUCAAUUGGAGGGCAAGUCUGGUGCCAGCAGCCGCGGUAAUUCCAGCUCCAAUAGCGUAUAUUAAAGUUGUUGCGGUUAAAAAGCUCGUAGUCGAAUUUGUGUCUCGCGCCGCCGGUUCAUCGUCCGCGGUGUUAACUGGCGAGUCGCGAGACGUCCUGCCGGUGGGCUUAGCUCGCGAGGGCGGCCCAACUCAAUCCUGCCGCGGUGCUCUUCAUUGAGUGUCGAGGUGGGCCGGCACGUUUACUUUGAACAAAUUAGAGUGCUUAAAGCAGGCUAAAACUUCGCCUGAAUACUGUGUGCAUGGAAUAAUGGAAUAGGACCUCGGUUCUAUUUUGUUGGUUUUCGGAACCCCGAGGUAAUGAUUAAUAGGAACGGAUGGGGGCAUUCGUAUUGCGACGUUAGAGGUGAAAUUCUUGGAUCGUCGC